AACGAACGCUGGCGGCAUGCCUAACACAUGCAAGUCGAACGAGCCUUUCGGGUCUGGUGGCGCACGCGUGCGAAACGCGUGGAACCCUGCCCUUAGGUUGGGCAUAACUACCCGAAGGAGGGGGUAAUACCGGGUGAUGUCCUCGGCCCAAAGGUUUAUCGACUUUGGGUUGGACCGCGUUGGGUUGGCUUGUGGGUAGAGUAGAAAGCUACCAAGGCGAAGAUCUAUAGCUGGUCUGAGAGAAAGAGCAGCGACACUGGGACUGAGACACGGCCGAGACUAGUAGGGAGGGCAGCAGUGGGGAGUAUUGGACAAUGGGGGAGAGCCUGAUCGUGCGGGGCGGCGUGAGUGAUGAAGGCAUUAGGGGAGUAAAGGACGUUUACCGGGGAUGAUAAAGACAGUAACGGGAGAAAAAGCACCGGCUAACUCCGUG
rnacentral:rRNA from 1 species